rnacentral:rRNA from 1 species
UCGGAUCGUAAAACUCUGUUGGUAGAGAAGAACGUUGGUGAGAGUGGAAAGCUCAUCAAGUGACGGUAACUACCCAGAAAGGGACGGCUAACUACGUGCCAGCAGCCGCGGUAAUACGUAGGUCCCGAGCGUUGUCCGGAUUUAUUGGGCGUAAAGCGAGCGCAGGUGGUUUAUUAAGUCUGGUGUAAAAGGCAGUGGCUCAACCAUUGUAUGCAUUGGAAACUGGUAGACUUGAGUGCAGGAGAGGAGAGUGGAAUUCCMUGUGUAGCGGUGAAAUGCGUAGAUAUAUGGAGGAACACCGGUGGCGAAAGCGGCUCUCUGGCCUGUAACUGACACUGAGGCUCGAAAGCGUGGGGAGCAAACAGGAUUAGAUACCCUGGUAGUCCACGCCGUAAACGUUGAGUGCUAGAUGUAGGGAGCUAUAAGUUCUCUGUAUCGCAG